rnacentral:misc_RNA from 1 species
GAUGAAGAACGUAGCGAAAUGCGAUAAGUAAUGUGAAUUGCAGAAUUCAGUGAAUCAUCGAAUCUUUGAACGCACAUUGCGCCCGCCAGUAUUCUGGCGGGCAUGCCUGUUCGAGCGUCAUUACAACCCUCAGGCCCCCGGGCCUGGCGUUGGGGAUCGGCGGAGCCCCCCGUGGGCACACGCCGUCCCCCAAAUACAGUGGCGGUCCCGCCGCAGCUUCCAUCGCGUAGUAGCUAACACCUCGCGACUGGAGAGCGGCGCGGCCACGCCGUAAAACCCCCAACUUCUGAACGUUUGACCUCGGAUCAGGUAGGAAUACCCGCUGAACUUAAGCAUAUCAAUAAGCGGAGGA